AGAGACAGGCCCAUACUCCUACGGGAGGCAGCAGUAGGGAAUCUUCCACAAUGGGCGCAAGCCUGAUGGAGCAACACCGCGUGAGUGAAGAAGGGUUUCGGCUCGUAAAACUCUGUUGUUGAAGAAGAAUGUGCAAGAGAGUAACUGUUCUUGUAUUGACGGUAUUCAACCAGAAAGUCACGGCUAACUACGUGCCAGCAGCCGCGGUAAUACGUAGGU
rnacentral:rRNA from 1 species